GUCUACGGCCCUGCCACUCUGAACAAGCCCGAUCUCGUCUGAUCUCGGAAGCUAAGCAGGGUCGGGCCUGGUUAGUACUUGGAUGGGAGACUACCUAGGAAGACCAGGUGCUGUAGGUA
rfam:Pteropus alecto contig75419, whole genome shotgun sequence.